rnacentral:rRNA from 1 species
UACGAAGGGGGCUAGCGUUGUUCGGAAUUACUGGGCGUAAAGCGCACGUAGGCGGAUUGUUAAGUUAGGGGUGAAAUCCCGGGGCUCAACCCCGGAACUGCCUUUAAUACUGGCAGUCUCGAGUCCGAGAGAGGUGAGUGGAAUUCCGAGUGUAGAGGUGAAAUUCGUAGAUAUUGGGAAGAACACCAGUGGCGAAGGCGGCUAACUGGUCCGAUACUGACGCUGAGGUGCGAAAGCGUGGGGAGCAAACAGG